rnacentral:rRNA from 1 species
GAUGAACGCUAGCGGCAGGCUUAAUACAUGCAAGUCGAGGGGCAGCACAGAUAGCAAUAUUGGGUGGCGACCGGCAAACGGGUGCGGAACACGUACACAACCUUCCUUUUGGUGGGGGAUAGCCUUUGGAAACGGAGAUUAAUACCCCAUAAGAUAUUGGGACCGCAUGGUUUUGAUAUUAAAGAUUUAUUGCCAGAAGAUGGGUGUGCGUAUGAUUAGGUAGUUGGUGAGGUAAAGGCUCACCAAGCCGACGAUCAUUAACUGGUGUGAGAGCACGACCAGUCACACGGGCACUGAGACACGGGUCCGACUCCUACGGGAGGCAGCAGUAAGGAAUAUUGGUCAAUGGACGGAAGUCUGAACCAGCCAUGCCGCGUGGAGGAUGAAGGUCCUCUGGAUUGUAAACUUCUUUUAUAUGGGGCGAAAAAGGGCCAUUCUUGGUCAACUGACGGUACCAUAUGAAUAAGCACCGGCUAACUCCGUGCCAGCCGCCGCAGUAAGAC